rnacentral:rRNA from 1 species
AUGACCUCAUUUGGUGUCGCACCGGCAUCUGGGCUGAGAGAUGCUGGUGGUAGUAGUGAAGUGGAUAAGUUGCCGGAUGAAAUUAGUAAUAUGAGAAUAAGUGACGAAAAGGAAGUAGAGGCAACAAUCAUCAAUGGGAAUGGAACAGAAGCUGGUCAUAUUAUAGUCACGACUAUCGGAGGCAGAGAUGGCCAAAGGAAGCAGACAAUAAGUUACAUGGCUGAACGUGUCAUUGGUCAAGGAUCAUUUGGUGUUGUGUUCCAGGCAAAAUGUUUGGAGACAAGUGAGACAGUAGCUAUCAAGAAGGUUCUUCAGGAUAAGAGAUACAAGAACCGUGAGUUGCAAAUGAUGCGUCUACUUGACCAUCCAAAUGUCGUCUCUCUCAAACACUGCUUCUUCUCAACCACUGAAAAGGAUGAACUCUUUCUGAAUCUUGUGCUUGAGUAUGUUCCUGAGACAGUCCACCGUGUCAUCAGACACUACAACAAGAUGAACCAACGCAUGCCACUGAUAUAUGUGAAGCUAUAUACUUAUCAGAUUUGUAGGGCACUGGCUUAUAUCCAUCGCACCGUUGGUGUUUGCCACAGGGACAUAAAACCACAGAAUCUUCUGGUUAACCCACACACUCAUCAGCUGAAGAUCUGUGAUUUCGGAAGUGCAAAAGUUCUGGUGAAAGGCGAACCCAAUAUAUCAUACAUCUGCUCUAGGUACUAUAGGGCACCGGAGCUUAUUUUUGGUGCUACUGAGUACACGACAGCAAUCGACAUCUGGUCUGCUGGAUGUGUUCUUGCUGAACUUCUGACAGGACAGCCUCUGUUUCCCGGUGAAAGUGGAGUUGAUCAACUUGUUGAGAUUAUCAAGAUUCUGGGCACACCUACAAGAGAAGAAAUCAAAUGUAUGAACCCGAACUACACAGAAUUCAAGUUUCCCCAAAUCAAGGCCCAUCCAUGGCAUAAGGUGUUCCACAAGCGAAUGCCACCUGAAGCAGUGGACCUGGUUUCCAGGCUUCUUCAGUACUCACCGCACCUUCGGUCCUCAGCUCUGGAUGCUCUGAUCCAUCCAUUCUUCGAUGAGCUCCAUGACCCAAACACCCGCCUCCCCAACGGCCGGUUCCUUCCUCCCCUCUUCAACUUCAAGCCCCACGAGCUGAAGGGGCUUCCGAUGGAGAUCGCGGCGAAGCUGGUCCCGGAGCACGCGAGGAGCCAAUGCCCGUUCCUAGGGCUGUAG